CAGCGCCUGGGUUGACGGCGGCUCGACGUAGUCGGCACCGGAGCGGGCAGCCAUGGAGGCAGAUCUUGCGAGGCAGGGUGCGGCAGCCAUGGCGGCUGCGACGUCGACGCUCGAAUCGAUUCCAGCGGCGGCCGUCUACCAGUCCCACGACCCUCAGGUGAGGAGGGAAAAUGACUAAUGAUAUGAUGGGGGCCCUGCUUGUGAUAAGAAAACGGAGCUGAGAAGAAUAUUGAGAAUUGCAGAAAGUAGGAAUUGUGGUGUGAUAAAAGUUUAUUAUUAGUGUUUUAUUUGAUACUGGACAGUGAUCUUUGGAGUUGUUUAGGUGGUCAGUGUACAGAUCUAUUUGUAAGCGUACAAUGUCCAAUUCAAGCUGUUAUACUGGUUGAAUAAAGCAUAAAGCAUUA